UGGGGAAUAUUGGACAAUGGGGGGAACCCUGAUCCAGCAAUGCCGCGUGUGUGAAGAAGGCCUGAGGGUUGUAAAGCACUUUCAGUGGGGAGGAUGCGAUGAUAGGUUAAGAGCUAGUUAUUGUGACGUUACCCACAGAAGAAGCACCGGCUAACUCCGUGCCAGCAGCCGCGGUAAUACGGAGGGUGCGAGCGUUAAUCGGAAUUACUGGGCGUAAAGGGUGCGUAGGUGGUUGUUUAAGUUAUCUGUGAAAUUCCUGGGCUUAACCUGGGUAGGUCAGAUAAUACUGAAUGACUCGAGUAUGGGAGAGGGUAGUGGAAUUUCCGGUGUAGCGGUGAAAUGCGUAGAGAUCGGAAGGAACACCAGUGGCGAAGGCGGCUACCUGGCCUAAUACUGACACUGAGGCACGAAAGCGUGGGGAGCAAACAGGAUUAGAUACCCCCGUAGUCC
rnacentral:rRNA from 1 species